rnacentral:rRNA from 1 species
GAUGAACGCUAGCUACAGGCUUAACACAUGCCAGUCGAGGGUCCGGCGCGCGGGUGAGUAACACGUAUCCAACCUGCCCUUUACUCGGGGAUAGCGUUUCGAAAGACAGAUUAAUACCCGAUGUAAAGGAUGGUGAUGCGUUCCAUUAGGUUGUUGGUGAGGUAACGGCUCACCAAGACUUCGAUGGAUAGGGGUGCUGAGAGGAAGGUCCCCCACAUUGGAACUGAGGCCCUGUCCAGACGCCUACUGGACGCAGCAGUGAGGAAUAUUGGUCACUGAGCGUUAGCCUGAACCAGCCAAGUAGCGUGAAGGAUGAAGGCGUAUUGGUCGUAAACUUUUUUUAGAUAAGAAUAUGUAUUAUAUGAAUAAGGAUCGGCUAACUCCGUGCCAGCAGCCGCGGUAAUAC